GACGAACGCUGGCGGCGUGCUUAACACAUGCAAGUCGAACGGAAAGGCCCUGCUUUUGUGGGGUGCUCGAGUGGCGAACGGGUGAGUAACACGUGAGUAACCUGCCCUUGACUUUGUGAUAACUUCAGGAAACUGGGGCUAAUACCGGAUAGGAGCUCCUGCUGCAUGGUGGGGGUUGGAAAGUUUCGGCGGUUGGGGAUGGACUCGCGGCUUAUCAGCUUGUUGGUGGGGUAGUGGCUUACCAAGGCUUUGACGGGUAGCCGGCCUGAGAGGGUGACCGGCCACAUUGGGACUGAGAUACGGCGCAGACGCCUACGGGAGGCAGCAGUGGGGAAUAUUGCACAAUGGGCGGAAGCCUGAUGCAGCAACGCCGCGUGCGGGAUGACGGCCUUCGGGUUGUAAACCGCUUUCGCCUGUGACGAAGAGUGAGUGACGGUAAUGGGUAAAGAAGCACCGGCUAACUACGUG
rnacentral:rRNA from 1 species